CCAGCGCGCACAUACACACACAGAGGAAGCGAGCGAGAGAAAGAGAUCACAUUUUAUUAUCUGACACAGUGGAAAUUUUAAUAAUGGAGAGACACUACCAGGACUUGGUGUGCACCCCAUGUUUGCAUUUUUGCAUUAGUUUGACUCCAGAGGAACACGUUGGGGAACAAGUUUGGCUAUCAGACAUGAAGGAUGUCUGUAAUGCCAAUUAAAUCUCCUGGUACUUCCAGCGAUUCCUGUCCACAUGGCUGGUUUUACAGGCGAGCUAUGAACAGCACUGCAUGGGGGCACUGCACAAUGGGGAACACCAACCUCGCCAGGAGCCGUUUAUGUAACUUUUCACUGGAAAACACGUCACGCAGGCCAUGUUUAUUACAUGUUCCAGUGUUCUACUUGAUUUGUUAGUCCCAGAUUUCUGCCAUUCUUCCGUUAAUGCUAAGUAAAUAAUAACAGGGAAAAAAAAUAAAAACGGGGAGGCAUUUUUUACUGGGAAAGGAUGGAGGAUUAUGCAAACAUGUCUGAAAAAUGUUCUUCUGCCACACUUCUAAAUAGCAUGAAAAUGUAUCUUGGCGCCCGGUUGUUGUUCUAAAAAAAGUGUUACUCGCUGUA